CUGGGACACAGAGAGGGCUCCGAGACCGGGAUUGAUUCGGGGGUUGUGUUUCAAAUUCAAAGAAGACAGAAGAUCUGACGAGUUAGAAUUGACAGAGGGUCAGUCGUGGUGUGUAGGAACACCAAGUAAGUUAAAGAUUAGAUUAUAUUAUUUACAGCAUGGAAACAGGCCCUUCGGCCCAACAAGUGCUUCUCAAUAUUACAUUUUAGAGUUUGUAUUUCAUAAUCAGUGAUGGCUACUCAAAAUCAGCAUAAAGUCCCAAAAUGCAAAUAAAUUCCAAACAUUCAUCUCUCUCUCACACGCACUCACACACUGUCACUCACUCACUCACACACACAAUAAGAAUCCAUUAUAAUUGAUAGGACCUGACCGUUUAUUACAAGGCUUUUGACAUGCUUCUGAGAUGAUACAAAGUUUCCGAGAUCACAAUCAAAUACUGUCAUUAAAUUCAUAAGUUACCAACUUUGAA